rnacentral:rRNA from 1 species
GAUGAACGCUGGCGGCGUGCCUAAUACAUGCAAGUCGAGCGAACAGACGAGGAGCUUGCUCCUUUGACGUUAGCGGCGGACGGGUGAGUAACACGUAGGUAACCUACCUAUAAGACUGGGAUAACUUCGGGAAACCGGAGCUAAUACCGGAUAAUAUUUCGAACCGCAUGGUUCGAUAGUGAAAGAUGGCUUUGCUAUCACUUAUAGAUGGACCUGCGCCGUAUUAGCUAGUUGGUAAGGUAACGGCUUACCAAGGCAACGAUACGUAGCCGACCUGAGAGGGUGAUCGGCCACACUGGAACUGAGACACGGUUCAGACUCCUACGGGAGGCAGCAGUAGGGAAUCUUCCGCAAUGGGCGAAAGCCUGACGGAGCAACGCCGCGUGAGUGAUGAAGGUCUUCGGAUCGUAAAACUCUGUUAUUAGGGAAGAACAAACGUGUAAGUAACUGUGCACGUCUUGACGGUACCUAAUCAGAAAGCCACGGCUAACUACGUG